rnacentral:lncRNA from 1 species
CUGGGAUUCGUUCAAACAGUUUGGAAAUGAGCAGACUUUUCUCUUGAAUCAAACCCAAUAUUCUUUUUUAGAUUUGGAAAAAGUCUCCAAAUUUCUCUUCCAGUACCUAUGGGGCAUGUUAGAAACAUUAGUAGCAUUUAUUAGGGGGAACCUUUCCCAUUAGCUAAAGCGAGGGCUAGUGUUGACAGCCAAUAUUCAGUGAACCACAGGGGCUUGCUGGUGAAGGUCAGAGGCUGUCUGCCCACCUGGCAGUGGCUGGCAUUGUUAUAUGCUAAAUCAGGAUUAUAUUUCUGACACUUGGCUAAAGGAUCCUGUAAGAGCUGCUCUGUUUAGAAUAAUAAUAAAAGCAAUGAAGAUUCUCGAACAAUGAGUACCUUCUCUGUGCCAGGUAAUGUGCCAGCGCUCACAGAGUGGAAUGUUUCUAAGUGCCAAGGACAGAGGAGUACAAGGUUUCUGUAAGACUUUGCAAAGGAUGAUUUACUACUUGGUGGGAAAUUUCCCUCACUCCAAACAACUGGAUUGUAUUAACUGGCACUUUGGUGAAGCUGUCCCGAAAAGUCACUUUUCUUUUCCAUUUGCUCUGAUUGCCCCCAUGCCUAACGAGCACAAAGUGUUCCUAAGACUACAAAUAGUCAUGUGACAUGGUAUUAUAAUUAAUGCUAAGUUUUGAAAAUCCUGGUUUUGUUAGUAAAAUGAUAUAAGAUAAUGAUUCACACUCAUUAAAAAGAGUGUGGUUGGUCACGCACAGUGGCUCAUAUCUGUAAUCCCAGCACUUAGGGAAGCCAAGGUAGGUGGAUUACCUGAGGUCAGGAGUUCAAGUCCAGCCUGGCCAACAUGGUGAAACCUCGUCACUACUAAAAAUACAAAAAUUAGCUGGAUGUGAUGAUGGGCGCCUGUAAUCCCAGCUACUUGGGAGGCUGAGGCAAGAGAAUCACUUGAAAACCCGGGAGGCAUAGGUUACAGUGAGCUGAGAUCGCGCCAUUACACUCCAGCCUGGACGACAGAGCGAGACUCCUUCUCAAAAUAAAAAUUAAAAAAAAAUUUAAAAAAAGGAGGGGGAUUGCGUUUAAUUCUCAACUUUCUUCACUUUUGAAUAAGCAAACUUAUAAAUAGUGCUAUAAUAUUCUUUUAUGACAAAUGUAGGCCUGUGAAUGUCUUGGAUCUGGCAUGAUACACCUUCGGGGGUGUCAAAAAUAAUUCUUAUGUCUCAACACAGAAAAGCUUAGACCAUAAUCCUGGCUUCAACCAGUGGUGUCACUUUGCUGGAACUAAUCAAGAAAAGAGAGAAAUGAGCACAGAAAGUAGAUUUUGAAUAUGUAAAAUUUUGUAAUGUAUUAUGAGAAUAAUACAUUCUCAUUUUAUUGUAGAUUCAAUUUACUGUAGGUUGAUUUUCUCUUGAUAAUGGAAGAGACUCAUGGCAGAUAACAAUAUGUUUUUAUACUGUUGAUGUUCUCUGGGGAGUGAGUUGAUGAGCUGGAGCAGGAUGUGGUCCUACAGUAAGACUAAAAACAAACCACUACCAUCUAUUGAGCUCUCAGGACACGUCAGGACUAUCACAAGUGGUUCUUUCACCUCUUAUUUCUACAGACCUCCCCCAGUGCCUGUUGUUUAUACUUUAGUAUCAGCACUUUUUAUGUUGGAACUCAUAUGUUAGUUAUUUCUAUAUAUAGUGUUUCCCCCAUAAUUUUAAAUCUUUAAGGAUAAGGGCUGUGUUGUAAUCAUAUUUGAUCUCUCUCAGUGUUUCGAGAAAUGCUUUCUAUAUAACAAGUACUUAGUUCAUACCUGUUAAACUGCAUUUAAGUGAACAAAAAGUUAUAAGCUCGAGUGACACAUUUCAAAGAGAUAUAAACAGCAAAGCAUAAUAAAAUGACAUAACAGAAUUGUCAGCCAAAAAUAUGGUGUAUCAAAACAAGUGAACAAAUAAGUAAACAAUGCCUUAAAAUGUGUUCAGGAAAUGAUAGCUUUAAAAGAAUGAAGCUCUUCUAGGUAUAAAUAUUGUGUCAGUUAAAGCUAUGCAGACAAUCACCACAGUGUCUGAUGUACAUUGAACUUGUGAAUAAAAUUCCUUAAUUUCCAAAAAUAAUUCAUGUUUUUAAAAUUGGAGCUUCCUAGAAGAUUGGUUGAACUACUAUAUAUUUGAUAAGCAAUUUCCACCUCCUAAUCAAGGGAACAUAUAGUAACUUUACCAUAUUGGUUGCCUACAGUUAAUCAUAGUAGAAUCAAAUACUUUGAGUUUUUUUGUGUGUAAUAAUUCAGAUUUUAUAUAUUAUGUUAUUUAUACAGAAACUGAAUUUAUAAGAAUUUAAGGAGAAAAUUUUGCUCAACUCUUUCUUUAGGUGAUAUAAAGAUAACCUGGUUUGACAUUUUGACAUCUUUCUUUUUUUAAGAAAACAGGAUUCAAGAGAAUUAUUGUUGUGUGGCAUAGAAAGAGCAAAAGCCUGAGAGAGGCUGGGAGUUUGAACUCAAGUUCUGCCAAAAGUUCAAUGUAUUUUGGCAAAUGAUAUAUCCCUUCAUCUACAGGAUUUCAGGUAUCUCAUCUGUAAAAUGAAAGGGAUUGUGUUAGAGAUCUUUCUAGUUUAAUUUUUUUUUUUAUUUCUAAGUAGAUAUUUGUACUCAUAAUGUAUUUCUACAAAAGAUGAUAAUAAACCCUAUGUAGAUGGCAUACAUUUAGAUUAAAGUAUAAAUGUAUUGGUCUAACAGCAUUAAUGUAAAAAUGGAAUGGUUUUUAGGUUUAAAAUUGUAAGCUUGUAAUUAAAUUGUUAAAUAAUUUGUAUCUUCCACAUUGAAAGAUAUCCUUGACAGUAGAAAACAAUAAACAUUAGAAACCCAUAAACUUAGAAGGAAGCAGACAUGAUUUUUUUAACUGUUCCUUUUUUUUCUGUAAUAAAAACCAUGAUUUUUCCUAGUACCCUCAGGGUAUUCUAUGAGGAAUAAUUAAAUAUUCUGCAGAGAGAACUUUGAAGAUAAAAAGCAUUAGAAAAUGCUACAUUUUACCAUCAUUCUUUGACUGUCAAUAAGGCAUUUCCCAAGUGCUUUUUUGGACUCAAAACAUAUUUAUUGUUCUUCAGCUGUCCAGUUAUUUUUUUGAAAACUCAUUAUUUUUAGCUGGCUAACAGCUUUUUAUUCUUUAGAAUAAAAUUUAGGUCAACAAAGGCUCAACCAAGGAAACUGUGAAACAACCAAAUGUUUCCAAGUAUGUGACCGGUCACCAUCUUGACCAUUAAUUCUUCCACAUUUUUUAGAAAAAUUAUUUCACAGUUGAUGUAAUAAUGGAUCAUGAAAAUUGCAAGCUAAAUAGAAAACAACAAAGAAGGAAGCAAAAUAUCACCCCUAAUUUUAUAAUCUGACAAUAACCAUCACUAGCUUUAACUAAAUAUUAUUCCAGAUAUUUCUAUAUACUUCUAGGCCAAUAGAGAAAUGUACACUCACCAACACACAUAUGCACAUGUAGUAAUAAUUUUAUAAAAUGUGAUCAUAUAGUAGUUGCUAGUUUAACACUAUUCAAUUAAAUAAGCAAGAGGCCUUAAGCCUGAGGCUGUCUCUGUAGUUUGAGCUCCUACAUAACAAAUUACAACCUAACUUAGUCUGUAAACAAACCAAAACCUAAUUUACAAGUUUAACAAACAGCUGAGUUUCAGCCCAUCACAAGCAGCCACGUAAUCACAGGCAUGCCCGAGUAAGACAGAUGCCUAGCUAUAGCCAAUCAGGUGAUUCCUCUACUUUCCUUCGGUGUCUGGCCUAUUACAGUUGUCUGCUCAGACUGUUGCGGGGAGCUGUCUGAGGCUUCACUAUUUCAGGGUGUUGCCUAAUUCAUGAAUUAUUCUCUGUUCAAAUCAAUUUUGCUAACUUUAACUUGACUGAAUGUUUUUUUUAAAACAGCAGUAUUAAAAUUAACUAAUGUUUUAACACACGUACACACAAAAUGGAUUGUUGUACCUGGGGUAAAUAAUCUUUUACCACAAGAGUUCAUAAAGAUACCUCUAAAGUAAAAAAAUUAUACAAAAGCAUCAAGAUGAUGCCAAAAAGUCUAAAUUUAUUUUUUGUAUAGUAUUAUGUGAUCUCCUGCUUAUGUGAAAAUGAGAAAGUGAGUGCUCCGUUUGCCUCUAACCCCCUUACUUGAACUUCAGUUUUUAAAGUUUAUAUUAUUUGCUUUUCUUUGUCAAAAAUUCUAAAACAUUCUUUUUCUGUAAUAUAAAUGUCACUGAUGUUUCCUUUUAUUUUUUCAUUAUUUAAUGGAUUCAGGACUCAUCGAACACCACAGUCCUUUUUUAAUUGCCAUCUUUCUUUUGAUUUAUCUGUUGGUUGGUUGGACUUUAUACUUUUCUGGAAAGACUCAUAGGCACUAUAUUUCAAAACUUCUUAAAUGUUUCAGUCUACAAUUUUACUUAUUUUGUUGCUUUAGGAAAUUUUUAUAUUCUGUCUUUGAAUAUAUCGCCCGUGCCAUAUGUUGAGUGCACCACACCACUUCUGAUUUCCUUGGCCCAGACAAUCUUUUCCUUCCAUUACUUCAUUAAAAUUUUAGACCACUUGCUUUACAUGCAAAUGGUAAUCUCUUGUCUUUUUGUAUGUCUGUCAUUUCAUGUUCACAAUUUCUUUAUUAGUUUGCAAAUAGCCUUUGGUUUUUUUUAUUUUCCUGGUUCUGGAGCUUCUCUUUCAAUUUUAUUUGGUUGUUUAUCUUAGUG